AGAGUUUGAUCAUGGCUCAGAUUGAACGCUGGCGGCAGGCCUAACACAUGCAAGUCGAGCGGGGUUUUCGGACCUAGCGGCGGACGGGUGAGUAAUGCGUAGGAAGCUACCCGAUAGAGGGGGAUACCAGUUGGAAACGACUGUUAAUACCGCAUAAUGUCUACGGACCAAAGUGUGGGACCUUCGGGCCACAUGCUAUCGGAUGCGCCUACGUGGGAUUAGCUAGUUGGUGAGGUAAUGGCUCACCAAGGCGACGAUCUCUAGCUGGUUUGAGAGGAUGAUCAGCCACACUGGAACUGAGACACGGUCCAGACUCCUACGGGAGGCAGCAGUGGGGAAUAUUGGACAAUGGGCGCAAGCCUGAUCCAGCCAUGCCGCGUGAGUGAUGAAGGCCUUAGGGUUGUAAAGCUCUUUCACCGAUGAAGAUAAUGACGGUAGUCGGAGAAGAAGCCCCGGCUAACUUCGUGCCAGCAGCCGCGGUAAUACGAAGGGGGCUAGCG
rnacentral:rRNA from 1 species